GAUGAACGCUGGCGGUGUGCCUAAUACAUGCAAGUCGAGCGAACAGAUGAGGAGCUUGCUCCCCUGACGUUAGCGGCGGACGGGUGAGUAACACGUGGAUAACCUACCUAUAAGACUGGGAUAACUUCGGGAAACCGGAGCCAAUACCGGAUAAUAUAUUGAACCGCAUGGUUCAAUAGUGAAAGACGGCUUUGCCGUCACUUAUAGAUGGAUCCGCGCCGCAUUAGCUAGUUGGUAAGGUAACGGCUUACCAAGGCAACGAUGCGUAGCCGACCUGAGAGGGUGAUCAGCCACACUGGAACUGAGACACGGUCCAGACUCCUACGGGAGGCAGCAGUGGGGAAUCUUCCACAAUGGGCGAAAGCCUGACGGAGCCACGCCGCGUGAGUGAUGAAGGUCUUCGGGUCGUAAAACUCUGUUAUUAGGGAAGAACAACUGUGUAAGUAACUAUGCACGUCUUGACGGUACCUAAUCAGAAAGCCACGGCUAACUACGUG
rnacentral:rRNA from 1 species